AGUAACACGUCGGUAACCUACCCUCGGGAGGGGGAUAACCCCGGGAAACUGGGGCUAAUCCCCCAUAGGCCUGAGGUACUGGAAGGUCCUCAGGCCGAAAGGGGCUUCGGCCCGCCCGAGGAUGGGCCGGCGGCCGAUUAGGUAGUUGGUGGGGUAACGGCCCACCAAGCCGAAGAUCGGUACGGGCCAUGAGAGUGGGAGCCCGGAGAUGGACACUGAGACACGGGUCCAGGCCCUACGGGGCGCAGCAGGCGCGAAACCUCCGCAAUGCGGGAAACCGCGACGGGGGGACCCCCAGUGCCGUGGCAUCGCCACGGCUUUUCCGGAGUGUAAAAAGCUCCGGGAAUAAGGGCUGGGCAAGGCCGGUGGCAGCCGCCGCGGUAAUACCGGCGGCCCGAGUGGUGGCCGCUAUUAUUGGGCCUAAAGC
rnacentral:rRNA from 1 species